UACGGAAGGCAGCAGUGGGGAAUAUUGCACAAUGGGCGCAAGCCUGAUGCAGCCGAUGCCGCGUGUAUGAAGAAGGCCUUCGGGUUGUAAAGUACUUUCAGUCGUGAGGAAGGUAUUAAGGUUAAUAACCUUAGCAAUUGACGUUAGCGACAGAAGAAGCACCGGCUAACUCCGUGCCAGCAGCCGCGGUAAUACGGAGGGUGCGAGCGUUAAUCGGAAUUACUGGGCGUAAAGGGCACGCAGGCGGUUAAUUAAGUUGGAUGUGAAAUCCCCGGGCUUAACCUGGGAAUGGCAUUCAAGACUGGUUAGCUAGAGUCUUGUAGAGGGGGUAGAAUUCCAUGUGUAGCGGUGAAAUGCGUAGAGAUGUGGAGGAAUACCGGUGGCGAAGGCGGCCCCUGGGACAAAGACUGACGCUCAUGUGCGAAAGCGUGGGGAGCAAACAGGGAUUAGAUACC
rnacentral:rRNA from 1 species